AGAUGAAGGCAAGAGAAGAAAUGGUUUCAGCUUGAUUCACGGGAAUGGCAAAGCUAAGCCAGAGUGCCCUGCAGGACAGGGGAGAGAACGGACACAAAAGAGGGAUGCUGACAGCAGCCAAAAACGAUUUGGCACAGCUCAGGAGAAGCGCCCAGGUGACAGCCUCCUCUACCACUGAGCUGAGGCCAGCUUGGUCUGCACCACCUGCCAGCAGACUCAACAGCACCAGGACAGCAAGCCCCUUCUUGUCUUGGGAUUCAUCUGGACUGGAAGGGUACUGAGAAGAUCUGAAAUCAACCUUAUGCCUCAUGCUGGAAGAAUGAUUUAGCUUAGGAUCUGCUUCUAUUUGGAUUCUUUCACUGUUAUAUCUUAUAAC
rnacentral:lncRNA from 1 species